AGAUCAAUUGAACCUGGGAGGUUGAGGCUGUAGUGAGCUAUGAUCAUGCCACUGCAGUCCAGCCUGGGGAACAGAA
rnacentral:snRNA from 1 species